rnacentral:rRNA from 1 species
GUAAAGGCAUAAGGGAGCUUGACUGCGAGACCUACAAGUCGAGCAGGGUCGAAAGACGGACUUAGUGAUCCGGUGGUUCCGCAUGGAAGGGCCAUCGCUCAACGGAUAAAAGCUACCCCGGGGAUAACAGGCUUAUCUCCCCCAAGAGUUCACAUCGACGGGGAGGUUUGGCACCUCGAUGUCGGCUCAUCGCAUCCUGGGGCUGUAGUCGGUCCCAAGGGUUGGGCUGUUCGCCCAUUAAAGCGGUACGCGAGCUGGGUUCAGAACGUCGUGAGACAGUUCGGUCCCUAUCCGUCGUGGGCGUAGGAAAUUUGAGAGGAGCUGUCCUUAGUACGAGAGGACCGGGAUGGACAUACCUCUGGUGUACCAGUUGUCGUGCCAACGGCAUAGCUGGGUAGCUAUGUGUGGACGGGAUAAGUGCUGAAAGCAUCUAAGCAUGAAGCCCCCCUCAAGAUGAGAUUUCCCAACUUCGG